rnacentral:rRNA from 1 species
UUGGAGGGCAAGUCUGGUGCCAGCAGCCGCGGUAAUUCCAGCUCCAAUAGCGUAUAUUAAAGUUGUUGCAGUUAAAAAGCUCGUAGUUGAAUUUCGGGGUUCUUCCGUUGGUCAGGCUAACAAGUCUGUACUAGCGUGUAGAAUCUCUACCUUCUGGGGAACCAUCAUAUUAUUAAUUUAGCGUGGUGGGAAACCAGGACCUUUACCUUGAAAAAAUUAGAGUGUUCAAAGCAGGCUUACGUCUGAAUACAUUAGCAUGGAAUAAUAAAAUAGGACGGUGGUCCUGUUUUGUUGGUUUCUGAAUCACCGUAAUGAUUAAUAGGGAUAGUUGGGGGCAUUAGUAUUCAAUUGUCAGAGGUGAAAUUCUUGGAUUUAUUGAAGACUAACUUCUGCGAAAGCAUUUGCCAAGGAUGUUUUCAUUAAUCAAGAACGAAAGUUAGGGGAUCGAAGACGAUCAGAUACCGUCGUAGUCUUAACCAUAAACUAUGCCGACUAGGGAUCGGACGAUGUUAAAUUUUAUUGACUCGUUCGGCGCCUUACGGGAAAC